rnacentral:tRNA from 2 species
GGGGUUAUAGCUCAGUUGGGAGAGCGUCUGGUUUGCAUCCAGAAGGUCGUGGGUUCGAUUCCCUCUAACUCCACCA